rnacentral:rRNA from 1 species
CCUACGGUGGGCAGCAGUGAGGAAUAUUGGUCAAUGGGCGCGAGCCUGAACCAGCCAAGUCGCGUGAGGGAAGACGGUCCUAUGGAUUGUAAACCUCUUUUGUCGGGGAGCAAAAGACGCCACGCGUGGCGUUCCGAGAGUACCCGAAGAAAAAGCAUCGGCUAACUCCGUGCCAUCAGCCGCGGUACUACGGAGGAUGCGAGCGUUAUCUGGAUUUAUUGGGUUUAAAGGGUGCGUAGGCGGAAGCUCAAGUCAGCGGUAAAAUUGGGAGGCUCAACCUCUUCGAGCCGUUGAAACUGGUUUUCUUGAGUGUGUGAGAAGUAUGCGGAAUGCGUGGUGUAGCGGUGAAAUGCAUAGAUAUCACGCAGAACUCCGAUUGCGAAGGCAGCAUACCGGCGCUCAACUGACGCUCAUGCACGAAAGUGUGGGUAUCGAACAGGAUUAGAUACCCUUGUAGUC